rnacentral:misc_RNA from 1 species
UUCUUUGUUGUGNUCGGNGGAGUUCCAUCGUCGAUNGCCUUGUUUGACCNUCCACUCUCGCGAUCCAGCGAGCCGUGGGCGGGCGACGGGCGCGAAGACGGAAUGACCGUGUCGGCACGUGAGCGGUGAUGGAUUCGUAUGCCACGGCGGGCUCCCUGCCACCGCGCAGCCAACCGCCGUCGCUGCAGUCCCUUCAUUCUUGCUCCGACCGUGAUAUCGGAGCCUCGCGCGUUGCCUGUGCGUUCUACCCGGUCGUCGGGAAUACGACUUCGCCCCACGUGCUCAUCCGUUCCUCCCGCCGCGCGCGAGGGAGGAGCGGCAACGUCAGCGGUCCCCGUGCACCCUCGAACGACGGCACGGCUUCGGCCCCUCGUCUCGAUCGGCCCUCGGUGCACCGCGAGCGCUCGCGGAUGCGGCAUACACGUUUGGCCGGGGGGUCUCUUCUCCCUCGCGCCACGAUCGGUCGGCUCCACUUCGCCGCCCUCGACGAGACGACCGUCGCCCCACCGUCGCCCCCCUCGCCUCUCGGCGUCGGGCGUGCACGGCGGGCGCGGCGUCGCGGAGGACGUGCUACCUGGUUGAUCCUGCCAGUAGUCAUAUGCUUGUCUCAAC